rnacentral:rRNA from 1 species
UACCAGCACCCCGAGUGGUCGGGACGAUUAUUGGGCCUAAAGCAUCCGUAGCCGGUUCUACAAGUCUUCCGUUAAAUCCACCUGCUCAACAGUUGGGCUGCGAAGGAUACUAUAGAGCUAGGAGGCGGGAGAGGCAAGCGGUACUUAGUGGGUAGGGGUAAAAUCCGUUGAUCCAUUGAAGACCACCAGUGGCGAAGGCGGCUUGCCAGAACGCACUCGACGGUGAGGGAUGAAAGCUGGGGGAGCAAACCGG